UACGGAGGGUGCGAGCGUUGUUCGGAAUCACUGGGCGUAAAGCGCGUGUAGGCGGCCUCCCAAGUCUGAUGUGAAAGCCCGGGGCUCACCCCCGGAAGUGCAUUGGAAACUGUGAGGCUCGAGUCCCGGAGAGGAGGGUGGAAUUCCUGGUGUAGCGGUGAAAUGCGUAGAUAUCUGGAGGAACACCGGUGGCGAAGGCGGCGUUCUGGACUGCAACUGACACUGAGGAACGAAAGCCAGGGGAGCAAACGGG
rnacentral:rRNA from 1 species